GGNGGGGGAUAACUCCGGGAAACUGGAGCUAAUACCGCAUGAUAACUGAGGUUCAAAGGUCGCAAGACCGCCUUGAGAGGGGCCUGCGUUCGAUUAGUUAGUUGGUGGGGUAAUGGCCUACCAAGACGAUGAUCGAUAGCUGGUUUGAGAGGAUGAUCAGCCACACUGGGACUGAGACACGGCCCAGACUCCUACGGGAGGCAGCAGUGGGGAAUAUUGGACAAUGGGGGCAACCCUGAUCCAGCAAUGCCGCGUGUGUGAAGAAGGUCUUCGGAUUGUAAAACACUUUCGUUGGGGACGAUGAUGACGGUACCCAAAGAAGAAGCCCCGGCUAACUUCGUGCCAGCAGCCGCGGUAAUACGAAGGGGGCGAGCGUUGCUCGGAAUAACUGGGCGUAAAGGGCGCGUAGGCGGCCGAUAGCUGUCAGAUGUGAAAUUUUUGGGCUCAACCCGAAAACUGCAUUUGAUACNUAUUGGCUAGAGUGCGAGAGAGGAUUGCGGAAUUCCCAGUGUAGAGGUGAAAUUCGUANAUAUUGGGAAGAACACCAGUUGCGAAGG
rnacentral:rRNA from 1 species